GUGUGUGUGUGUGUGUGUGUGUGUUAGAGAGAGAGGUUGUGUGGUACUUCCUGUUCUCCCAGUCUUGCCUGUGUCUCUUGUACUAACUUGUUUCCUCUUCAUGUUCACAGUCAGUGUCCUGUUUAUCCUCUCAGGCUGACUUCAGAUCAGAAGAUGAGUGAUUGUGUGGAGGAAGAGGAGGACGGAGCAGAGUCUCCAGUCUCUGGCUGUCUGUCUGUGAAGAGUGAUCAGUCUAAAGAUGAUCCUCUGACCUUCAGUAAUGAACCUGGACCCUCAGAGUCAAAAUAAACUCUAACUCAAAGGUUUCCUGUAAAUGGAGAGAGGAGGAGUUACGCUGAUCCAGGUGAUGUAAGAACAUGAGAACAGGGAGGGAACCUGAAAGAGGAAGUGUUCAGUCAGUCCAGACGCCAUUUGAGUCGACGGAGCAGAAGGAUGAAGACUGUAGACUGAAGCAGGAGUUCAGUCCAGACCGAGAGCAGAGUCUCCAGUACCCAGCUGUCUGUCUAUGGAGAGUGACGGGUCUAAAGAGGAUCCUCCAGACUUCAGUAAUGAACCUAGACCCUCAGAGUCAAAAGAGAAGAAGAGGAGUCAUGCUUCUGUGGAGGAGCAGAUGUCCAGAUCCAGAACAAGA